AGUAAAAGUCGUAACAAGGUCUCCGUAGGUGAACCUGCGGAGGGAUCAUUACUGAGUGAGGGCUCACGCCCGACCUCCAACCCUUUGUGAACCAAACUUGUUGCUUCGGGGGCGACCCUGCCGACGACUUCGUCGCCGGGCGCCCCCGGAGGUCUUCUAAACACUGCAUCUUUGCGUCGGAGUUUAAAACAAAUUAAACAAAACUUUCAACAACGGAUCUCUUGGUUCUGGCAUCGAUGAAGAACGCAGCGAAAUGCGAUAAGUAAUGUGAAUUGCAGAAUUCAGUGAAUCAUCGAAUCUUUGAACGCACAUUGCGCCCUUUGGUAUUCCGAAGGGCAUGCCUGUUCGAGCGUCAUUUCACCACUCAAGCCUGGCUUGGUAUUGGGCGUCGCGGUGUUCCGCGCGCCUUAAAGUCUUCCGGCUGAGCUGUCCGUCUCUAAGCGUUGUGGAUUUUUCAAUUCGCUUCGGAGUGCGGGUGGCCGCGGCCGUUAAAUCUUUAUUCAAAGGUUGACCUCGGAUCAGGUAGGGAUACCCGCUGAACUUAAGCAUAUCAAUAAGCGGAGGAAAAGAAACCAACAGGGAUUGCCCU
rnacentral:rRNA from 1 species